CACGGAUUAACCUGGAGGACAUUGUGCUUAGUGAAGUUAGCCAGUCACAGACUGACAAGUACUGCACGAUUCCACUUAUAUGAUGCCACUGAAAGGUAAACAUACCAUUCUGACAUGCAUGAAAAUGAAACGACAAAUUGAUACACGCAGUGCUUGGAAUGGAUGGAGUCCUUCUAAUGAGUGAUUACCUGUGGUAUAACUAUAUUGAUUGUGUUUGUACAUGUCAAAUGGGGCUGGC
rnacentral:lncRNA from 10 species